rnacentral:rRNA from 1 species
AACGCGAAGAACCUUACCUACUCUUGACAUCCAGAGAAUUUGGCAGAGAUGCCUUAGUGCCUUCGGGAACUCUGAGACAGGUGCUGCAUGGCUGUCGUCAGCUCGUGUUGUGAAAUGUUGGGUUAAGUCCCGCAACGAGCGCAACCCUUAUCCUUUGUUGCCAGCGAUUCGGUCGGGAACUCAAAGGAGACUGCCGGUGAUAAACCGGAGGAAGGUGGGGAUGACGUCAAGUCAUCAUGGCCCUUACGAGUAGGGCUACACACGUGCUACAAUGGCGUAUACAAAGAGAAGCGAACUCGCGAGAGCCAGCGGACCUCAUAAAGUACGUCGUAGUCCGGAUUGGAGUCUGCAACUCGACUCCAUGAAGUCGGAAUCGCUAGUAAUCGUAGAUCAGAAUGCUACGGUGAAUACGUUCCCGGGCCUUGUACACACCG